rnacentral:piRNA from 1 species
UAACAGUUAGACACACUUAAAUUACCUGUU